UACAGAGGUGCCGAGCGUUAGGCGGAAUCACUGGGCUUAAAGCGCGUGUAGGCGGGUCGUUAAGUGUCCGCGUGAAAUCCCACGGCUCAACCGUGGAACUGCCGGGCAUACUGGCGACCUUGAGGCACUUAGGGGCGAGCGGAACAAAUGGUGGAGCGGUGAAAUGCGUAGAUAUUGGGAAGAACACCGGUGGCGAAAGCGCCUUGCUGGGUCUGCACUGACACUGAGGGACGAAAGCUAGGGGAGCGAAAGGG
rnacentral:rRNA from 1 species